ACGUAGGGGGCGAGCGUUGUCCGGAAUCACUGGGCGUAAAGCGCACGUAGGCGGGCUGUCAAGUCGGCCGUGAAAGGCAUGGGCUCAACCUGUGCAUGUCGGUCGAUACUGGCGGUCUGGAGUAUGGGAGAGGGGACUGGAAUUCCCGGUGUAGGGGUGAAAUGCGGAGAUACCGGGAGGAACACCAGUGGCGAAGGCGGGUUCCUGGCACAGGACUGACGGUGAGGUGCGAAAGCCGGGGGAGCGAACGG
rnacentral:rRNA from 1 species